CUUUCAUAAUCAUAAAUUAGCAACCUCCUUAGAACAUGGUUACAAUGUUAUAUGUCUGGGUAAAUUAUUACACUAACUGAGAGAAGAACUUGUACAAAUUAUUUAAAUCUAUAUCAUUGUAUAUUAGAGACCUACUGCAAAAUCAUGUGCCAUAAAAUUUCUUUAACUGACCAUUAUACAUGUUAUAGUACUAAAAGUAUUUAC
rnacentral:lncRNA from 1 species